rnacentral:rRNA from 1 species
CGACUNUCAACAACGGAUCUCUUGGCUCUCGCAUCGAUGAAGAACGCAGCGAUAUGCGAUAAGUAAUGUGAAUUGCAGAUUUUCAGUGGAUCAUCGAAUCUUUGGACGCACCUUGCGCUCCUUGGUAUUCCGAGGAGCAUGCCUGUUUGAGUGUCAUUA